rnacentral:tRNA from 2 species
GGGGUGUUAGCUCAGCUGGUAGAGCAGCGGACUCUUAAUCCGUUUGUCGCGAGUUCGAUCCUCGCACGCCCUACCA